GGCGUGUGUUCACGUGCUCUCCCACUAAACUCAACAUAGUGGACACGAUGUCCGGAUGUGCUGCAGAUGAAGGAGGAGGAUAUGCUGGAAGAGGAAGACUUGACUGUGUCGGAGUGUGCCAGAGGGAUUUGGCUGGGUUUUCGCUAACACCAUUAGGACUGCUGUCCCAUGACUGGGGUUUGAUAGUGACCUGAGCCACAUUCUUGGUGUGUAAAUUAUUAAUGUGAGAACGGCCUGGUAGCAGCCAAGGCUAUUGUUGCCAUCGAGAAUCCAGGCGAUGUUGGUGUAUCUCCUCCAGGAGUACAGGACAGGAAAAAGGAUGAGAGGUGCAGAAACUACAGUGGAAGACUGUCAUCCUUUGCCCCAGGGCCUGUGGUUAAAAGAAAUGUCCAGGUAGCUCCCAGGAGAAGAUGUGCCUGAACCUCUAGUUCUACAGAGACCCAGAGGAGUUUCCUCAGAGGACUGGAGUUCCCAAACUGCCGCUGAAGACUGGUCUGCAACUCCCACAGCCCAGAACUCCGACUGGGACUGUGCUAGCUCUGACUGGUCCAAAGUCAUGUCCAUCAAAAACAUACGAAAGGCAAAGCACGGAGCUGAGAUAUUAAUAAAGUUGGCUGGUUUUUAUUAA